UUUCAUGGUGGAGCUGUAACUGAAUCCAAAAUCACACUUCUGGGAAUCCAGCACCAAUGUUGUAUGAAGGUUUUAAAGUGUGAGAGACCAAGAACAAGGGGGAACCGAGUGGCUAUUUAAUGAGUCCGGGAUGCUGAAUGCAGCUGCUCUUUCAGGAAACUGCAUUUGCAAAGAGCACACAGCAACAUGCAGUAUCCUAAAAGAUGUAUGUGAAGGAGUGAGCAAGAUUGAUUUCCCUAAAUCUUCUGGGCAACCCAAUGCCUAAGGGAAUCCCAGGGAGGGAGGACAGAGCCCGGGCCACACUCCAGUUUCUACGUCCAGCCCUGCGCAGAGGCAUGAGGCAAACUGGAAGCUCCUCAGACGCCCCGUCCCCAUCCCCUGCCCUUCGCCAGCGCGGGCAGAAGGAUGUCCAAGUGCUCAGACAAUGGUGGAGGAAGCAGCUCUGGCUGCAUUUCCCUUCUGCUCCCUGGGGAGUCCGGGGAGCACACAAGCCAGGGCCAGAUUUAGCUCUUGGAUCCACAUGAAACAUCUCUGUGCUGACUGCUCCCUUCCUUCAUGCUCAGCCUCUUGUCAUGGGAGUGGAAGUCGCACACACACACAAGGGGAACAGAAAAGCCGAGUCAAUAUGCAGCAGGCAGAGCCAGGAACACAAUGCGGGCGAAACAAAGAGCGGGGCUGUAUUUACUGCCUUCCCGGUGGCAUUCGCUUCUCGUGCUUGGAGCUGGUUUCCUCUUUUCAUGAGCCUCUUGACCUACAGAUCCCUCUCCUCGGCAGACAGACCCCAAAGCCCUGCGGCUGGAUCCUUAUGCCUCUUCAGAUCAAACCAGCAAAACACUUUGAACACAGAGCCUGAACUGUGUGUUUGCAUCAAGGCUUUAAGCUCCUUGGCGCUGGCACCCGGGGUUCCUAUUUGUUUUCCAACUCCUGAGGACAGCAGUGGUGCUCUCUAAGUCAAUACAAACAAACCAAGAGAGGCUUGAGGCAGCGCAGCAGAGCUUACCCAAGCACCGCCGUCCCUGGGACUGUGCCGUGCUCUAGCCCGGGGAAGGUGCCUCUGGCACUGAUUUGGGCUGUCAGCUCAGGCCAGCACCCCCAAAAUCUCACACACAGAAACCUGGCAGAACAAGGAACUUCCUCAAAAGAAGGGCAUCAAUUGCCCCAUCUGUGCCACCGAGACACCCAGCUUUGGAGGGAGGCACUUUGACAGCUGCUGUAAAAACCCAUCAGAUUUUCAAAGCCUGCUAUUAGUGAUGGAUUUUCAAGUCCCCUCUUU